GAUGAACGCUAGCUACAGGCUUAACACAUGCAAGUCGAGGGGAAACGGCAUUUAGUGCUUGCACUGAAUGGACGUCGACCGGCGCACGGGUGAGUAACGCGUAUCCAACCUUCCCAUUACUGUGGGAUAACCUGCCGAAAGGCAGACUAAUACCGCAUAGUCUUCGAUGACGGCAUCAGAUUUGAAGUAAAGAUUUAUCGGUAAUGGAUGGGGAUGCGUCUGAUUAGCUUGUUGGCGGGGUAACGGCCCACCAAGGCAACGAUCAGUAGGGGUUCUGAGAGGAAGGUCCCCCACAUUGGGACUGAGACACGGUCCAAACUCCUACGGGAGGCAGCAGUGAGGAAUAUUGGUCAAUGGACGAGAGUCUGAACCAGCCAAGUAGCGUGCAGGAUGACGGCCCUAUGGGUUGUAAACUGCUUUUGUAUGGGGAUAAAGUCAAUCACGUGUGAUUGUUUGCAGGUACCAUACGAAUAAGGACCGGCUAAUUCCGUGCCAGCAGCCGCGGUAAUACGGAAGGUCCGGGCGUUAUCCGGAUUUAUUGGGUUUAAAGGGAGCGUAGGCCGGAGAUUAAGUGUGUUGUGAAAUGUAGACGCUCAACGUCUGACUUGCAGCGCAUACUGGUUUCCUUGAGUACGCACAACGUUGGCGGAAUUCGUCGUGUAGCGGUGAAAUGCUUAGAUAUGACGAAGAACUCCGAUUGCGAAGGCAGCUGACGGGAGCGCAACUGACGCUUAAGCUCGAAGGUGCGGGUAUCGAACAGG
rnacentral:rRNA from 1 species